GGCGAACGCUGGCGGCGUGCUUAACACAUGCAAGUCGAACGGAAAGGCCUAGCUUGCUGGGUACUCGAGUGGCGAACGGGUGAGUAACACGUGGGUGAUCUGCCCCUGACUUUGGGAUAAGCCUGGGAAACUGGGUCUAAUACCGGAUAUUCAUUUUUCCUCGCAUGGGGAUUUGUGGAAAGCUUUUGCGGUUGGGGAUGGGCCCGCGGCCUAUCAGCUUGUUGGUGGGGUAAUGGCCUACCAAGGCGACGACGGGUAGCCGACCUGAGAGGGUGAUCGGCCACACUGGGACUGAGACACGGCCCAGACUCCUACGGGAGGCAGCAGUGGGGAAUAUUGCACAAUGGGCGCAAGCCUGAUGCAGCGACGCCGCGUGAGGGAUGACGGCCUUCGGGUUGUAAACCUCUUUCAGCUCCGACGAAGCGCAAGUGACGGUAGGAGCAGAAGAAGCACCGGCCAACUACGUG
rnacentral:rRNA from 1 species